rnacentral:hammerhead_ribozyme from 1 species
AUCCAGUUGGCGAGUCCGAAAUAGGACGAAACGUGCGUUCUAGAU